GUCCGCAGAUUGGUUAGCGCGUGAGACUUUUAAUCUCAAGGCUGUGGGUUCGAGUCCCACAUCGGGCG